rnacentral:misc_RNA from 1 species
UUGAAACUUUCUAUUCCUUGUUAAAAAGUAAUUGUGUAAUAUAAUUUACAUUUUAUUUUUAAUUUACAAACCAAAAUAAGUAAAAUGUCGCAACAACAAACAUCAAAUACCAUUACUCUUCGGGGAUCUGCUCAAAUCAUUUGCGAGUACCUUAAGUACGCAAUCAAUUCAGUAUUAUUCCAAAGAGGUCUUUAUCCACCAGAGACAUUUAAAGCAGAGCAACAGUAUGGCAUUACAUUGCUGCUUUCAGAAGACCCAGAGAUCAAGAAGUUUUUAAUGAAUUUACUAUCUCAAAGUGAAGAAUGGAUAGUUACCAAAAAGGUUCGUAAACUAUCACUAGUCAUAAUAAAUGUUGCAAAUAAAGAAGUCCUUGAAUGUUGGGACUUCAACGUUCAGUACGAAGAUGGUGACCCCACAUUAUCCCAAGAGAAGAACGAAACUGUUGGCACGAAAGAACUGAAGAAGAUCCAGCAAGAAAUCAGAGAUGUGAUGUUACAGGUUGCUGCGACAAUAUCUUAUCUACCUUUCCUAGAUUGUAGGUGUACAUUUGAUGUUUACGUUCACGCCAAACCAGAUUGCGAAAUACCAGACAAAUGGGCGGAAGCCGAGUCAGUAUCUAUUGCGAAUGCUCAAAAUGUGCAGCUGAAAUCAUUUUCCACAAGCGUUCACAAAAUGGAAACAGUGGUUACGUAUAAGUUAGUGGAUUAAGGUAGGUAAGUCAUUUAAUUUUUUAAUUUGAUUAUGGAUUGUGAAAUGAUGAGACUUAUUUUACAUCAGUCAUUAGUCUGCGGCAUAGUAGUGAUGGUGUUUGCUAGCUUUACUGAAUUGGUUCACCCUAUAGAUAGUACUAUCAAUAUCUUAAUUGUUAAGAAACUGAUAGCCUAUCAAUCAACAAUCAUAAGUCCAGCAGUAAUGCUCAAAUUCAAUGAAUUGUACGUACAAAAUUUCAAUUUAAUUAUUUUAAGUGUGUGUGUGUGUGUGUGUGUGUGUCGUAUGUUAUUUAGUUUUAAGCUUAGUUAAGGUAUUUCGGACCUGAUCAUUUGUAAAAAUAUAUUGAUUUCUGGCUUCAAAAUGUCUGGUUCUGAUUCAUUUUAAAGGUAGUCGCUAUACACAAAUCUGGUGUCAAUAUCACUUAUGGCAGAUUAUCCAUUUAUGAUUUUUGAAGAAGGAAAUUAUGUAGAUAUAAUAUUAUCUUCAUUUUUUCAUGGUCUGUCCUACAAAACUUUAUUUAUUUGAAACCAAAUUCAAGGACCUUAUUUUACUGUAUUCUAUUAUUUAUA